rnacentral:ncRNA from 1 species
UCUGUUCAUAUCCUUUGAAUGGUGUACUUAUCAAACCAUAAUGUAGAUAUCCUAUGGUGAGCUCAGGGAGAAGAGAGACUUCCCAUACAGCUGAAUGGCAAAUGUUUACUUAAUUUUGAUUUUCAGUUUGAAUAUAAAAUGUUAAAGUGGUGUUUUAUAAUCCUAAACUUUGAAGUUUUGAACAAGAAGUGUCAGAAAAUUACCACAGGGAUAACUGACUUGUCAUGUCCAACCAUUCAUAGGAACUCAGCUUUUUGAUCCUUCAGUGUUGCCACUUCCACUCUUUAUGAAGCAGAAUUUUAAAAGCAUUGAAUUGUUCACUCACUAAUAAGGAUCAUGAGCUAGAUUUAGACUGCAGUAAG